rnacentral:tRNA from 1 species
GCGUUCGUGGUAUAGUGGUCAGCAUGCUCGACGCGUAUUCGAGAGGUUCGUGGUUCGAAUCCCGGCGAGGGCA